CUAAGUGGAAGUGGGCGGGGGGCAACCCCCGCUUAAGAUAUAGUCGGGCCCUCUGGGAGACCAGAGGAACCCCCGCGUUGCCGCCGCAACGCGGGGCACCAAACCGUUCCGUAGGUGAACCUGCGGAAGGAUCAUU
rnacentral:rRNA from 2 species